AUUUUGUUUAAACCUAAGGUAAGCCGCUUUACUAUCAUUGACAGCUGUCGCACACCUGUUAUUCCACCAAGGUACUGCAAUAUGUUUGUGCCUCUUUGAAGUAUUUGCACCGCUAUUUGAUAAGUUCCUACGUGGAACGGAACGUUCCACAGCUGUCAAAAUAAUUUUACAGAACCUAUUGUAAUUGUUUAAGGGUUCAUUGACAUCAUACUCGAAAUCCAAAAGUAAUCGAUUAACAGUUUCAGAAUAAAGAUCCCAAUUAACGAGACGUAGGUUUAUACGAUUUAACAAAAGUUUAUUAACUUCAUCUAUAGGAGCAUGUUGUUCACCUGACGGAGUUGAUGAAGAGUUCUUUGUGUUUAUUUUAGUAAAAGUCGGCAGAUGCUGCAACGCUCAGAAUUCUUACAGAAUUUAGCUAAAUGUCCAUACCUCAAGCACCGGUAGCAUUGUUUAACUGGUGGUAUAUAUGGAGUGACAUUGUGGCGCCAACCUCCAAUAUCCAGAUAUUCAGGUAAUACAGAUGCAGCAAAAGUAAUUGUCACGGUUAGAGUUGGCUGUAACACAUAUCCAUGAGUCAAGAUUCUGAGUCAGUAGAAGUAUCUUCCGAAUAUAUAUCCUUGUCAUUACAAGGUUCAUGGUCUACAUCACCUGAAUCGUCAUCUUUUUUUUUCCUUUUCCUACAACUGCGCUUCCCCAUGAAUGCUAAUUAUAUUACUGUCACUGAAUUUAGUGAAAAUAUAAUAUUUUAUUCAAUAAUAAGAAUUGAUAGAGAUAGUUUUUAUAAAUUAAUAAAAAAAAUUUAAAAAACCCGCUUGUUCUUAUUCGAGUUUCCCGCCUUUUUUUCCGAUCAAUCAAAUAUGCCAAAGUAAAUGUCAUGAUCAAGAUGACACACAUCUAAGAACAAGAAAUUACAUAGGAAUGAUAAAAACUGUAAAACAUAUAGUUGUCUCCUUUCUUCUUAUGUAAAUAUAAUUAGUAAAAAGUAAACGAAAGAUACACCAUCAGUUGGUAUUCUUGUCAUUCGUAGCAGGCUAGUGUAUGAAAAUCUAAGAACAAGGAAUUACAUAGAUGGAAUGAUAAAAAAAUUACUGUAAAUCAUAUAGUUGCCUCCUUUCUUCUUAUGCAAAUAUAAUUAGUAAAAUGAGGACGAUUUUUUUCA